GAGGGAAAACCCCCACACUGGAACUGAGACAAGGACCAGACUUCUACGGAAGGCAGCAGUGAGGAAUAUUGGUCAAUGGAGGAAACUCUGAACCAGCUAUGCCGCGUGUAGGAAGACAGUCUUUUAGAUUGUAAACUGCUUUUACAUAGAAAUAAAAGUUACUACGGGAUGGUAACCUGAAGGUACUAUGCGAAUAAGUGUCGGCUAAUUUCGUGCCAGCAGCCGCGGUAAUACGAAAGACACAAGCGUUAUCCGGAUUUAUUGGGUUUAAAGGGUGUGUAGGUUGUUUAUUAAGUCAGUAGUGAAAGCUUACAGCUUAACUGUAAAAUUGCUAUUGAUACUGAUAAACUGGAGUUAGAUUGGAGUAUCUGGAAUGUAUGGUGUAGCGGUGAAAUGCAUAGAUAUCAUACAGAACACCAAUAGCGAAGGCAGGAUGCUAAAUCUUCACUGACGCUGAGGCACGAAAGCGUGGGUAGCAAACAGGAUUAGAUACCCUGGUAGUCCACGCCCUAAACUAUGAUCACUAGCUAUUGGAAAAAUGAUAUUCAGUGGCCAAGCUAAAGCGAUAAGUGAUCCACCUGGGAAGUACGAUCGCAAGAUUGAAACUCAAAGGAAUUGACGGGGUUUCGCACAAGCGGUGGAGCAUGUGGUUUAAUUCGAUGAUACGCGAGGAACCUUACCAAGGAUUAAAUGUAUUCCGAAUAAGCUGGAAACAACUUAGUCUAUAAGACGUAAUACAAGGUGCUGCAUGGUUGUCUUCAGUUCGUGCUGUGAAGUGUUUGGUUAAGUCCUAUAACGAGCGAAACCCCUAUUGUUAGUUGCCAUCGGGUAAAGCCGGGGACUCUAACAAAACUGCCGGUGUAAAUCGUGAGGAAGGU
rnacentral:rRNA from 1 species